UCAAUCUCAGCUUCAGAACUAACUUUUUCCUAUUUUAAAUCUUCACUUGAACAGGUAAGAGUUUCAUAGUACACUCUACUGUAAAAUGUGGUAUUCAUGUCUACAGUAGAUUUAAAAAUAAUGUCUUCUUAAUUUAAAGAAGUCCUGGCAACCAUGAAACUACAAGUUCUAGUGAUGUGCCUAGUGAUGUGCCUGUGUUCCUCCAUUCCUGUAAGUUUUCUAGAAUAACAAAAUUUGUCCUGCUCUUUACAAAUCCAUAGUUCAAGACAUUCUACAUAUUCCAUCAAUUUCUUCGUAUUAAAAUAAGAAAAUAAUUGACUUAUGUAUCAUGGGCUGAUUGUUCACAACUUUAAAUGUGGAUGUAUUUGUACCAUAAUAACAUUAAUUCUGGAAUUCUUUUUGUGGGUGCAGGUGUCUAAGAAACAUAAUAGAGAGGAGCGCUCUUCGAGUCAUGAGGGAUAUAGGGGUUUUAUGGGGUUCCACCCCUAUCCUCAGUACUACCCCCAGCCUCCCCAGAGUGACACCACCCUGAUGGCCCUGCUGCCCUUACUAUUGGCCAGACGCACUGCUGCUUCUGCACCGGUUCCUGCACCCCUUCCUCCCCUGCCGGCCCUACCUGCCUUACCACCCCUACCUCCUCUACCUGCCCUACCUGCCCUACCUGCCCCACCUGCCAUACCUCCCCUUCCUGCCUUACCUGCCAUACCCCCAUUUCCUGCCAUACCUCCCUUUCCUCCCCUACCCGCCCUACCUGCCCCACCUGCUCUACCUGCCCUACCCGCUCUACCUGCCCUACCCGCUCUACCUGGCCUUCCUGCUCUAGCUGCCCCAGCAGCCCCAGCUGCCCCAGCUGCCCCACCAGCUCUACCUUUAAUUCCUUUCCUAACUUCCCUUUUUGGAAGGAAAUAAAAAUGAAAUGGCCAUUUCCAGAAGUCGGGAGAGAAAAAUGUACUCCCAUGUCUCUACCUUGUCUAGUUUAAAGCUAAUAACAAAUAAAAUUAAUUAAAUUAAGACCUGUCUUUAUGUAUGAUUUUAGAAAUUAAUGAGGCAGUCAUGCUCGUUUGGUAUAUUUUUGUGGACUUGAACCCAUAGAUACCCCAGUGGCCAUACUUAACUGGAAUAACCAAGCCACUAUUGUUUUUUUUUUCUUUGUCUUUUGUUUUGUUUGCUUUACACAGGGAACCAUAUUAUUGUAGAUGGGCUUGGAAACUUGUCCAACCUCACCUGUGUGCUCAAAGGUCUAACAUGAUUGUGAAAAAACAUUGGAUAGACUAGGUAAACAGAAUGGCACCAAAGAGCUCUCAUGAAACAGUGACAUGCUGGAGGAAUACAAAGAAAUAAUUAAUCACAUAGUGAAUGUAAUAUUCUAGUAAAACUUAAUAAGUGUUUAUACAUUUUAUCUUCAACAGAAACGGGUAUGUUUUCAUUCAUUUUCAGCCCUUUGUAUUGCAUGACUGUAGUCAGACUUUGUGUAGUCACUGGGUAAUUUAUAAAUAUUGAAUCUUUAUUAUAGAUAUAGGGUUCAGACUUUAGAGGAGGACACAAAAUAAUCAAACACUUAUCUGUAAAUGCCUUGAUAAGUGUCUCCAUUACUUUAAUGACCAACUGCAGUAUUAGUAAAUAUGGAAGAUAAUAUUCAUUACCACACUCGUUAAACAUUACUAUUAUCCAAUUUGUUACACUCUAUGAAUUCAUUUUGAAAAGGAAGUAUGCUUAUAAAUAAACUGUUGUCAACCUGAUGGCUAAUAUAUAUAUAUUAAAAGAUGACAACACAUAAUAUUAAUAUGUAUAUUUUAGUCAAUUUGCAGAUGGUCCUAUCCAAGUGCAUAGAUUAAAAAAACAAAAAAACAUCUAGGUUAAACAACCUUAGAGCGUAGUAAUGCCAUUGUAAUCAGUUAAUUCAUUUUUGGCAAAAGUUGGUGCCGGAAAGAACAACCUACAAAUAAUAAAUAAUAAAGUUUACCAAUGACAUAUAACUCAACAAAUGACACAUGUAUUAAGGCAAGUAGAUAGAUAGAUAGAUAGAUAGAUAGAUAGAUAGAUAGUAACAAUAAGUAACUAUUCAAGUAAUUAUUCCAUAAUCAUAAAUGCCAUUCAUACCUAAAUAAGGUUGUUGAGUCAUACAACACAUGAAGGGACACCAUGAAAUAUUAGUUGUGGCCAAAGUAUGGUUUUGAAAGAAAAUACAAUACUAUAUAGUGGAACAAUGUCAAUUUGAAACUGGUUUAGCCCAGUCUGAAAGAGGACAACUUUAGAUUAUUUCUGUCAUUUCAUGAAUGCCAAACUUAGUACAGGACUAGUGCUAUAUAUUCUCAAACAUUGGAACUUCAGGGCGAGAUAAAAUAAAAUUAUACUAAAGUAAAUAUAUAUUUUGAACACAACAAUGGGUUAAAAUUAAUUUCCCCAAAAAUAGUUAGGUGUAAUACAGUACAAUGUAAUUAAUGGAAUACAUAAUAGGCACCGC
ensembl:lncRNA